rnacentral:lncRNA from 1 species
GGCCGUUGCGAAUUUCUAGGCGGGUAGGGUUGUGGUAAGAAUUAGAGGGUUUUAAGUUGGUGACCGUGGAGAAGGAGAAUAGCGUUUUCCAUUGGAAAUUGGCAAGGAUGCGAUCAAGCAGUUCUUUGAUUCCGCCAUGACUUGAGGUAAUCCAGGUGAAAACUUCGUCGGAAAAACCAAGAUUAGAGAGGUUACAAUCCUCAAUUGCCUCACGAAAGUCAAGAAUUUGAC